rnacentral:misc_RNA from 1 species
UCUCCGUUGGUGAACCAGCGGAGGGAUCAUUACUGGAAUCGCAAGAUCCCACAACCCCUGUGAACCUACCGAAACGUUGCCUCGGCGGGCGCCCGGCCCCGCGCCGGGCGCUGAGCCCGCCGGCGGCCCCCUACUCUUGUCUCUGCAGCGUGGCAUCACAGAGUCCCAGAAAACAAGUAAAAACUUUCAACAACGGAUCUCUUGGCUCUA